rnacentral:piRNA from 1 species
UGGUUUACUUCAUUUCUAUGAAGCAUGUCU